rnacentral:rRNA from 1 species
UACGUAGGGGGCAAGCGUUGUCCGGAUUUAUUGGGCGUAAAGCGCGUGUAGGCGGUCCGGUAAGUCCGCUGUGAAAGUCGGGGGCUCAACCCUCGGAUGCCGGUGGAUACUGUCGGGCUUGAGUACGGAAGAGGCGGGUGGAAUUCCUGGUGUAGCGGUGAAAUGCGCAGAUAUCAGGAGGAACACCAAUUGCGAAGGCAGCUCGCUGGGACGUUACUGACGCUGAGACGCGAAAGCGUGGGGAGCGAACAGG